rnacentral:rRNA from 1 species
GGCGAACGGGUGAGUAACACGUGAGUAACCUGCCCUUGACUCUGGAAUAAGCGUUGGAAACGACGUCUAAUACUGGAUACGAGCUUCCGCCGCAUGGUGAGGAGCUGGAAAGAAUUUCGGUCAAGGAUGGACUCGCGGCCUAUCAGGUAGUUGGUGAGGUAAUGGCUCACCAAGCCUACGACGGGUAGCCGGCCUGAGAGGGUGACCGGCCACACUGGAACUGAGACACGGUCCAGACUCCUACGGGAGGCAGCAGUGGGGAAUAUUGCACAAUGGGCGCAAGCCUGAUGCAGCAACGCCGCGUGAGGGACGACGGCCUUCGGGUUGUAAACCUCUUUUAGUAGGGAAGAAGCGAAAGUGACGGUACCUGCAGAAAAAGCACCGGCUAACUACGUGCCAGCAGCCGCGGUAAUACGUAGGGUGCAAGCGUUAUCCGGAAUUAUUGGGCGUAAAGAGCUCGUAGGCGGUUUGUCGCGUCUGCUGUGAAACCCCGAGGCUCAACCUCGGGCCUGCAGUGGGUACGGGCAGACUAGAGUGCGGUAGGGGAGAUUGGAAUUCCUGGUGUAGCGGUGGAAUGCGCAGAUAUCAGGAGGAACACCAAUGGCGAAGGCAGAUCUCUGGGCCGUAACUGACGCUGAGGAGCGAAAGCAUGGGGAGCGAACAGGAUUAGAUACCCUGGUAGUCCAUGCCGUAAACGUUGGGAACUAGAUGUAGGGACCAUUCCACGGUUUCUGUGUCGCAGCUAACGCAUUAAGUUCCCCGCCUGGGGAGUACGGCCGCAAGGCUAAAACUCAAAGGAAUUGACGGGGGCCCGCACAAGCGGCGGAGCAUGCGGAUUAAUUCGAUGCAACGCGAAGAACCUUACCAAGACUUGACAUAUACGAGAACGGGCCAGAAAUGGUUCACUCUUUGGACACUCGUAAACAGGUGGUGCAUGGUUGUCGUCAGCUCGUGUCGUGAGAUGUUGGGUUAAGUCCCGCAACGAGCGCAACCCUCGUUCUUUGUUGCCAGCACGUUAUGGUGGGAACUCAAAGGAGACUGCCGGGGUCAACUCGGAGGAAGGUGGGGAUGACGUCAAAUCAUCAUGCCCCUUAUGUCUUGGGCUUCACGCAUGCUACAAUGGCCGAUACAAAGGGCUGCAAUACCGCAAGGUGGAGCGAAUCCCAAAAAGUCGGUCUCAGUUCGGAUUGAGGUCUGCAACUCGACCUCAUGAAGUCGGAGUCGCUAGUAAUCGCAGAUCAGCAACGCUGCGGUGAAUACGUUCCCGGGCCUUGUACACACCGCCCGUCAAGUCAUGAAAGUC